rnacentral:rRNA from 1 species
UACGAAGGGGGCUAGCGUUGCUCGGAAUCACUGGGCGUAAAGGGUGCGUAGGUGGUGAGGUAAGUCGGAUGUGAAAGCUCGGAGCUCAACUCCGAAAUGGCAUUGGAAACUACCUUGCUAGAGGAUUGGAGGGGGGACUGGAAUACUUGGUGUAGCAGUGAAAUGCGUAGAUAUCAAGUGGAACACCAGUGGCGAAGGCGAGUCCCUGGACAAUACCUGACACUGAGGCACGAAAGCUAGGGGAGCAAACAGG